rnacentral:rRNA from 1 species
CCCUUAGAUGUCCUGGGCUGCACGCGCGCUACACUGAUGUGUCCAGUAAGCACCUAACCUCUUCCGAAAGGAACGGGUAACCUUUGCAAAGCACAUCGUGAUGGGGAUAGAUUAUUGCAAUUAUUAGUCUUGAACGAGGAAUUCCUAGUAAGCGCAAGUCAUCAACUUGCGUUGAUUACGUCCCUGCCCUUUGUACACACCGCCCGUCGCUACUGCCAACUGAGAUGGGUCCUGAAUUGUUAGGAACGCCCGUCAAGGGGCCUACCCGGUCCCUAGUGCGGUGACGAGAAUAACUGUAAAUGGCAUAUCUUGUAGGGAGUAAAAGUCGUAACA